UUCAUCUGUGACCAAACUCCCGUCUGCAGACACAAGCUUCAGGGAACAGGAGGGAAGAGGAAUAGGUGUCACUGUGCUGCAGCCAUAAGAUCCCCAAAUUCACCUCAUGUUCACAUCCCCAGCAUGGGAACUGCAGAAUGGGUGCUGUAGGAGGAGGAUUGUUCAUUUUCAAACCAUUUAAUUUCAUCAUUGUUUCAGUGUAGAUGAUUGGAACAUUUUUCUAUCUGGAGCAAAUCAGUGAAGAAGGGGAAAGGCCAUGGUUUGUGUGGGGAGCGCUCACAAUGCUGCUGCCACCCCAAGACUCUUGCUAAACAAGGUACAUGUGGUACCAUGGCUGGGAUCCUCUGGCACUGUGCAUGAGGAAGUGGAAUUUUAAAUGGACUUCAACAGAACUGGUGUCUUGAAUGCUUGGUGAUACAUCAGGGGUAGUGCCACAGAAGAAAGCCUCACAGGAAGA